CUACACAACAUUAUACUACACAACGUCAUCCUCCACGACAAACUGGACUUAUGGAAAUGCUCCAGAGGCUCUGUGCACUACCACCAGGGUCUCCAGGCUGGAGAGAACACACUGAACGUUCUGUGUUCUCUGAGAGCUGCUCGGACUCUGGUUUCUGGAAGGUUCUCCGAUGUUUCCCGUCCGGAGCCUCGAGGCGCAGUGUUGGCCGACUACGUCCAAUUCCUGACCACGCCCGGAUCGCACAACGACUCGUACGCCGAGUCCUUCCACCGGGCGUUCUUCUCCGACUGGCAGGAGGACCGGCUGAUGGCACCAAGCGACAUCCUGGUGUUUGCUGAGGAACGUUCUCGGUUGAAGCUUAGCUCUUCAUUCCCUGACAGUCAGCUGGACGCCAUCGGCUGCCUUCCCAUGAUCCUCCCCUUCGUCCUGCUGUCGGCUUCAGCCAAUGAGGAGCGAGCUGUGUCGGCGGCGGUGGACUUCGUGAAGCUCACCCAUCCUCACCCCAGAGUUCCUGAGUAUGUGUCGAUCUACAGCCGGGCACUGCACGCUGUGGUGGGCGGAGCCAGCGUCCGCCAGCAGGCCGAGCGUGCUCUGAAGGCGCUGGACACCUGGGACACCUGCCAGAGCUUCAUGCAGAAGGCGGCCAGGUUCCCUGAUUCCUCUGAGGACAGACUGAAGGUCCAUCAGAAUGCUGUGAACCACCUCGGCCUUGCCUGCUACACUAAAGGAGCUCUGUCCAGUUUGUUCUAUUUGGCCCAUGAGUUCCACGAUGACCUCAGAGGAGGGAUCCUGACAAACACCAACUGUGGAGGUGAGAACUGUAACCGCGGGGCGGCCCUUGGAGCUCUACUCGGAGCUUCCGGGCCUCAAAGUGGCGGCGUUCCUCAGCAGUGGAAGGAUGAGCUGAGAGACGGACAGGAGUUCAUCCCUGACAUCCUGAAGGAGCUGCAAUAAGGCAGCAUCGCCCCCCAGAGGACUGGAGGAGAACUACAGUGAGGCAGCGUCGCCCCCUGGAGGACUGGAGGGGAACUACAGUGAGGCAGCGUCGCCCCCUGGAGGACUGGAGGGGAACUACAACGGUUUACAAUCACUCAGCUUUGAUUCCACAUCUCUGUAUGAUGAUUACUGAUUACUUUGGUUUUUGUACAAUGACAUCAUAUGAACUAUUAAACAUUAUUAAAUUAUACAUAUUUAUUAUUUGUGCCUUGAUUUGACCUGUUUGAAGCACCAGCAGCCUUUAAAGAACAAUAAAAACCUAAAGUGGACGGAUUCACUGAGUGUUUUUUUCACGACUAACCUGUUAAACUCUUUACCUUUAGGGAUGUUUGGGACAGUUUUUGGUUUUAAUUAAUCAGAUGUGAGCUUUAGACGCUCUCAGGGUUUUACUGGAAAUCAUCAGCUGGCAGUGACGUUAUAAGUGGAAAUAGUUUAAAUAUACUACUACUACUAAUAAUAAUAAUAAUGACAACAAUAACAAUAAUAAUAAUAAUAAUAA
ensembl:lncRNA